AAUUGAGAGAUCCCAGAUUGCAUCCCAAUUGUUAACUAAGCUCUGGAGCCAACCAUUGAGAACAGAGGCAAGACAGCUCUCAAAUGGUAGUGGUUAGAGCUGCACAAAAAAUGGCAGGAAUGAAACACAGCUUUUGAAGACUAAAAUGCUGUUAUGUACUCUGAAUGCACUUCAUUGGAAAACUGCAUGACAACACAGCUGGAUGAAUGGCUCGCCUUCCACCCUAGGACAAAAGCAAUCAGAAGGAUAAUGGAAUGCCUUCUCUAGCCAGAAUGUGCCUUACACAGAAGCCUCAUUAUAUAUAUUCAGGUGUCUUUAUAACUGUGGGCCUUGGCACAAAGUCACAAAGGAGGUACAAGCUGCUCCUUAGAAAGGCCUGGUGCAUCAGCCCAUCCAUAUGUGCAAAGACAAAUAUUGGCUGGGUGAUGCUCUGAGCAGGAUAUAAAAGUGCUCUUCUCAGCUUUGGUAUGAGUGACAUGCCUACUAAUGAUCUCAUAGGCCAGGUGUGGUCUUCAUGUCAUAAACUUUCAAAUGGCCCAGAACCUCAAGGGACAUGCUACCUUAUCUAGACAGCUGGAAAAGGACUAGGGGUCCAUUUGGAAGGAUCCACCGACAACAGUUCCCAUUGCAGUGCAGGAUUAAGCUGGAUAAGCAGCUAAGACAAGAGGCUUACUUCCCAAGUCCUCUUGCCUCAACCCUACCACAGCUUUGUCUCAGCAAAAAGAAGGGCACCACAGCAGCUUGCAAGCAGCCUGCAGCCACCCCAGCACAGCACUCCUUCCAUCAGGAUGAACAUUGCUCCCUCAUCCACCUAGCUCCUGCGUAGAUGACACUCUUAAUUUGACAAAGUGCUUGGCUGCAUGAGACCAUUCACACAGCCACUGUUGUUGUAUAAACUAUAAGCAUCUGCUAAAAUCUCCUCAGAACCAUUUGCAGGUGUAUGUACCCAGAAGCACCACAACUGAGAAAAAAUGAAGAACUGUUACUAUUGAUUAUUUUAUUCCACAUCCUACAGAGACCUCAGCUCUCCCACUUCUCAGUUUAAUACAUUCUGCCACGUUAAACUUGAUUUCAUUAACUGCAGAUGAAAUUCUGCUGGCUUGCAGACAUAAGCAUCAGUGAAGCCAAACAGAGCAUUGUUGCCACACUUUGAUAGUAGGAAAGCUUGAACAUCUGGCUGCCUGAGGGAAAGAUGAUCUCAAGAACAGGGGACAAAGUCUGCAUGAGUGAUUUCUGGCCUUGGGCCGAGGUGCUGGACCUUCCACCAUGUCACAAAUCUUCCUUGACUAAGUAUCUCAUUUGCAGAAGCUACUUAGCUGUGUUGAACUACCCAAUCAGGUGGUGAUUCUGGCUGAGAUGGACACCAAGGCACCAGCAGAAACCCAGGAGUACAGUAAGAGUCCUGCUAUGACACUGGUGGGGAGAAUCUCUGUGCAGAAAGAGCCCAAAACAUAAGGGAAGAUUUGAUUACAGGGGAGAGGACUAUAUCUAACUCUGCAGACAAGUAUCCCAGAAAAAGAGCCACCCCCACAUCCUCUGUCCCUCACUCAAUUUUAUGCCAACCUAGUAUGCUUUAAUUUGGGUUGAAAAGUUUCACGGAUGAAUUUCAACAGCCAGACUUCCCUCUGUCACCAUUCAUACCAUGAGGAUGGAUAGAAAAAAUCUCUGCCUUUCCGAGAGUUGCACUGGGGCUUACUUUGAAUCAUUUAAACAAAGGAUCCUCAUAUUACUCCUUGUGGUGGGAGGCUUAUCAGGCUAGAUGAAACUACAUGGUUUUGUUCUGAAAAUUAAUAUUGGAUGUUUCAUACUGAAACCUUACUAAAAUGAAAAUGCAUCAAAUAUUCAAUACCCAUGUACUGCAGACAGAUAUCUGCUUGUGUACAAAAUGCAUAUUGAUCUAAUCUAAAAAUGGCAGCUCAUUAUCAAAAUGGGAUCCAAGUUUAAGUCAUUAAAAAUACAGCUGGAAAUGGCAAUUUCUGAGAAAAGUAGAUUCUUGUAUGACAUCUUUCCCACCCCCAAAUA